CGCGUAGGCGGUUUACACAGUCAGAUGUGAAAUUCCAGGGCUUAACCUUGGGGCUGCAUUUGAUACGUGUAGACUAGAGUGUGAGAGAGGGUUGUGGAAUUCCCAGUGUAGAGGUGAAAUUCGUAGAUAUUAGGAGGAACACCAGUGGCGAAGGCGGCUUGCUGGGCUUUUACUGACGCUGAGGCUCGAAAGCGUGGGGAGCAAACAGGAUUAGAUACCCUCGUA
rnacentral:rRNA from 1 species